UGGGGAUGCCUUUGUUUAAACACUCCCUCU
rnacentral:piRNA from 1 species